GGCUGGUCCGAUGGCAGUGGGUUAUCAGAACUUACUAACAUUAGUGUCACUAAAGUUGGUAUACCACCCCCCACUGCUAAAUUUGACUGGCUUAAA
ensembl:misc_RNA Y_RNA Y RNA